rnacentral:tRNA from 1 species
GGAGAGAUGGCUGAGCGGUUGAAGGCAACGGUCUUGAAAACCGUCGUCCGUGAAAGCGGACCCAGGGUUCGAAUCCCUGUCUCUCCGCCA